GAUGUUUUAGAGCAGUGGACAGCGUGUCGGACUUCUAGUCCAAAAGUCGUGGGUUCGAUACCCAACAGGUUUACA